AAGUAGCUUAAAGUACUUUUUAAGUGCUGAAAGUUAUUUUAUAAAUAAGCAGUUACGUGUUUGGAUAAAAGUGCUUAAAGGAUUUUUAGAAGUAAGGGUAGUAUUGGAAUUAAUAGAAAAUAUAAGGGAUAAAAGGGUAAAGUUGUUGGUCAAACCAAAAUGGCUUUUAAGCAACAAAAAAAAAAAAAAAAAAAAUUGGGGUUGAGCAACUUCUUAGUUUUGACUUAUUUUAAGCACUUUUUAACUUAAUUUAAGCUGUUUUUUUAUUUUUGUCAAACACUCAAACAAGUUAAAAAGAGCUUAUAAGUUAAUUUGACCAACUUUUAAGCCGAUUCAAACGGGCUCUUAAUGGUAUAAUAUGCUUAUGAUUGUGUAAAUUUACCUUAAUGAAAUAGUGAAUGACUAUUUCUUUUUCUACAUAGUUUACAAAGGUGUGUCAAUAUUGAGAAAAUAGAAGUAGAUGCCAAAUUUGCUAAAGCUGAACUAUUUACUGCAAAGGGUUAUGUGCCAACUUAUUGUUUUGUUGUUUAGGUGGUACCACUAGCCUAGAUAUUUUCCAAUAGUUUGAAAAACAAUUCCAGUUUUUCUUUAUGGUAAUCUAUGCUGAAAACGCUGAGUAGCCUAUAUCAAUUUGGAUACAAUUAUGUGUAUGAAUUUUUUUGAAGUUAAUCUUCUGUCUAUUUAAAUGGUCAUUGAUUUGCCUCUAAGCAUCAAAGGGGUACAUUCCAGUAACCUAUUUUCCGGGCUUUAACAUAUCAUGUUUGAGAAUGUUGUGCUUCACUCAUUUAGCAGAAUCUCCAUCAUUUUAUUCCUUCUAUCUUUCUUUUUGUUAGGACAGGAAUGGUAUAUUUCCAUUGGAGAUGCAGAAGGUUUUUCACGGAUAGUAGUAACUGUAAACCAUAUCCUUCGUUGUUUUUGCUUUGUGUUUUGACUGUUUGGGUGUUGGGUUUGAUGUCUGCAACCCUAUGUGAUUUGAAGCAUCUGCUCGCUCUUGAAACUCUUUACUGGUACCGAAAUUACUCCGCCUUCACCGACCAGUGAUGUUGACAUUGACGUCUUCAUUUUUCUUGGACUUCUGAGGGCCGCUUACCAUUGAGGCCAAAUCUGUGUAUCGGAUUUUCGGGUGAACACAAGGCACAAAAGCAGACAACGUGAUAAGGUUAUGAACAUAUUGGUUACAGUUUCUAACAGCCAUAAAAUUAUGGCUAGAAGAAAGACAGACGUCAGUGGGCGUUACAUAAUGCUUUUCACUUGCCACUUAAAGGUGCUAAGCCAUGGCCCAUAGGGCGUUGGACAUUUACUUUCAUUCCCUCUUUCGUUACGUUACAUCCAUAACCUUUAGCGAAAUUAUUUUUACAGGUGCUUUUGUUCGUAUGUUGUCAUAAUUUAUCAACUGUCUUCACAAUUUUUGGCUUA